UACAGAGGUCUCAAGCGUUGUUCGGAAUCACUGGGCGUAAAGGGUGUGUAGGCGGCGUGAAAAGUCAGAUGUGAAAUCCCUCGGCUUAACCGGGGAACUGCGUCUGAUACUGGAUGGCUAGAGUUUGGGAGAGGGAUGCGGAAUUCCAGGUGUAGCGGUGAAAUGCGUAGAUAUCUGGAGGAACACCGGUGGCGAAGGCGGCAUCCUGGACCAACACUGACGCUGAGGAGCGAAAGCCAGGGGAGCAAACGGG
rnacentral:rRNA from 1 species